CAGUCGCCGCGGGAAAACGAAGGGGGCUAGCGUUGUUCGGAAUCACUGGGCGUAAAGGGUGCGUAGGCGGAUUCUUAAGUCAGGGGUGAAAUCCCGAGGCUCAACCUCGGAACUGCCUUUGAUACUGGGGAUCUUGAGUCCGGAAGAGGUGAGUGGAACUGCGAGUGUAGAGGUGAAAUUCGUAGAUAUUCGCAAGAACACCGGUGGCGAAGGCGGCUCACUGGUCCGGAACUGACGCUGAGGCACGACAGCGUGGGGAGCAAACAGGAUUAGAGACCCCAGUAGUCCCUGUCUCUUAUAA
rnacentral:rRNA from 1 species